ACGCCCGUAGCUCAGAUGGCAGAGUAGUGGUAAGGUUCCCCACGGUCCCCGGAUUCAAGUCCCGGCGGUCGCU